rnacentral:rRNA from 1 species
UACGUAGGAGGCAAGCGUUUGUCCGGAAUUACUGGGCGUAAAGCGCGUGUAGGUGGUGGGACAAGUCGUGCUGUGAAAGCGCCUGGCUUAACCGGGCGAGGUCGGCGGAAACUGUCCGACUCGAGGACGGUAGAGGGGGGUGGAAUUCCCGGUGUAGUGGUGAAAUGCGUAGAGAUCGGGAGGAACACCUGUGGCGAAGGCGGCCCCCUGGGCCGGCCCUGACACUGAGACGCGAAGGCGUGGGGAGCGAACGGG